AUGCCGGUGAGCAGGAUCGCCAUCGGCGCCCCGGGGGAGCUGUCCCACCCGGACACCUUCCGCGCCGGCGUCGCCGAGUUCAUCUCCAUGCUCAUCUUCGUCUUCGCCGGCUCAGGCUCCGGCAUGGCCUUCGGCAAGCUGACUGACGGCGGUGCGACGACGCCGGCGGGGCUGAUCGCGGCGGCGCUGGCGCACGCGUUCGCGCUCUUCGUGGCCGUCUCCGUGGGCGCCAACAUCUCGGGCGGCCACGUGAACCCGGCCGUCACAUUCGGCGCCUUCGUGGGCGGCAACAUCAGCCUCCUCAAGGCGGUGGUGUACUGGGUGGCGCAGCUGCUCGGCUCCGUCGUGGCCUGCCUCCUCCUCAAGAUCGCCACCGGCGGCGAGGCCGUGGGCGCCUUCUCGCUCUCCGCCGGCGUCGGCGUCUGGAACGCCGUGGUCUUCGAGAUCGUCAUGACCUUCGGCCUCGUCUACACCGUCUACGCCACCGCCGUCGACCCCAAGCGCGGCGACCUCGGGGUCAUCGCGCCCAUCGCCAUCGGCUUCAUCGUCGGCGCCAACAUCCUCGCCGGCGGCGCCUUCGACGGCGCCUCCAUGAACCCCGCCGUCUCCUUCGGCCCCGCCGUGGUCAGCGGCGUCUGGGAGAACCACUGGGUGUACUGGCUCGGCCCCUUCGCCGGCGCCGCCAUCGCCGCCCUCGUCUACGACAUCUGCUUCAUCGGCCAGCGCCCACACGAGCAGCUCCCCACCGCCGACUACUGA
rnacentral:rRNA from 1 species